UAUAUAUAUCGCACUAUCCUUUAACCACAGAUGCUUGAUCGAUGUUAGGGUUAGGGAUCCAGAUAGGAUGGAGUUCCACAUAGUGGAUCAGAAUAAAAUCAGUCUGAUAUGUGGAGAGCAUGAAGACAGACACGUGCUGACAGACACGUGCUGUCUUCAUGAUCUCUUCACCAGUGGGUGACUUGGCAACAUACUCCCGAGGUCUCCCUGUAAUUGUAAUUGGAAGGAGCAUAACCAAGAACCCAUGACUGUCGAGGUCACCUCCUGCUGGCAUGGAACAGGACACAGCAGAUUCCUGACUUCCUGUUUUGUCUGCCAAGACUAAGACUGAUGUUCCCACACUUUUCUGUGGAGGUCUGGGAACGGAACCUCACGAAUCCUGGGGCAAGAUAGUUGCCAAUGUGGGGUUUCUUAUUACAGCAGCCCCUUGUCGUUCAUCAUGCCAGCACAAAAUAGAACACCAGCGAACACAGGACUAUAUUCACACGAGUUCUUAUCUCGCCAUUAACCACAGAUGCUUGAUCCCUAACAUCGAUCAAGAUUGGUGGGCGUUCCACAUAGUGGAUCAGAAUAAAAUCAGUCUGAUAUGUGGAGAGCAUGAAGACAGACACGUGCUGACAGACACGUGCUGUCUUCAUGAUCUCUUCACCAGUGGGUGACUUGGCAACAUACUCCCGACUCAGGGAGUGACAAAAAAUAACAAUACAGGUCAAUAAGAAACCUGUAUGCCAAUGUGGGGGUUCUUAUUGCAGCAGCCCCUUGGUGUUCUAUUUUGUGCUGGCAUGAUGAACGACAGUGAACACAGGACUAUAUUCACAUGAGUUCUUAUCUCACCAUUCUUUAACCACAGAUGCUUGAUCCCUAACCCUAACAUCGAUCAACAUUGGUGGGCAUUCCACAUAGUGGAUCAGAAUAAAAUCAGUCUGAUAUGUGGAGAGCAUGAAGACAGACACGUGCUGUCUUCAUGCUCUCUUCACCAGUGGGUGACUUGGCAACAUACUCCCGACUCAGGGAGUGACAAAAAAUAACAAUACAGGUCAAUAAGAAACCUGUAUGCCAAUGUGGGGGUUCUUAUUGCAGCAGCCCCUUGGUGUUCUAUUUUGUGCUGGCAUGAUGAACGACAGUGAACACAGGACUAUAUUCACAUGAGUUCUUAUCUCACCAUUCUUUAACCACAGAUGAUUGACCCCUAACCCUAACAUCGAUCAACAUUGGUGGGCAUUCCACAUAGUGGAUCAGAAUAAAAUCAGUCUGAUAUGUGGAGAGCAUGAAGACAGACACGUGCUGUCUUCAUGCUCUCUUCACCAGUGGGUGACUUGGCAACAUACUCCCGACUCAGGGAGUGACAAAAAACAACAAUACAGGUCAGUAAGAAACCUGUAUGCCAAUGUGGGGUUUCUUAUUGCAGCAGCCCCUUGUCGUUCAUCAUGCCAGCACAAAAUAGAACACCAGCGAACACAGGACUAUAUUCACACGAGUUCUUAUCUCGCCAUUAACCACAGAUGCUUGAUCCCUAACAUCGAUCAAGAUUGGUGGGCGUUCCACAUAGUGGAUCAGAAUAAAAUCAGUCUGAUAUGUGGAGAGCAUGAAGACAGACACGUGCUGACAGACACGUGCUGUCUUCAUGCUCUCUUCACCAGUGGGUGACUUGGCAACAUACUCCCGACUCAGGGAGUGACAAAAAAUAACAAUACAGGUCAAUAAGAAACCUGUAUGCCAAUGUGGGGGUUCUUAUUGCAGCAGCCCCUUGGUGUUCUAUUUUGUGCUGGCAUGAUGAACGACAGUGAACACAGGACUAUAUUCACAUGAGUUCUUAUCUCACCAUUCUUUAACCACAGAUGCUUGAUCCCUAACCCUAACAUCGAUCAACAUUGGUGGGCAUUCCACAUAGUGGAUCAGAAUAAAAUCAGUCUGAUAUGUGGAGAGCAUGAAGACAGACACGUGCUGACAGACACGUGCUGUCUUCAUGCUCUCUUCACCAGUGGGUGACUUGGCAACAUACCCCCGAGGUCUCCCUGUAAUUGUAAUUGGAAGGAGCAUAACCAAAAACCCAUGACUGUCGAGGUCACCUCCUGCUGGCAUGGAACAGGACACAGCAGAUUCUUGAUUUCCUGUUUUGUCUGCCAAGACUAAGAAAGAUGUUCCCACACUUUUCUGUGGAAGUCUGGGAACGGAACCUCACGAAUCCUGGGGCAAGAUAGUUGCCAAUGUGGGGUUUCUUAUUACAGCAGCCCUUGUCGUUCAUCAUGCCAGCACAAAAUAGAACACCAGUCAAAUUAAAUCAGCAAAUGAGGAUAUUCAAAAACAACCACUGCAUCCAGUUUCGACCGUAAAUGAUGCAGACCCACGAUCUGUGGCGUUAUUCCCAUGACCCAUUAGCAGUCAUCUCAUGCGUGUGGAGGGCAGUCAGAGAGCCCAGUACCAUGAGGACCUACACACCAGAAGGCAUAAUGAUUUUAAUCUGGUACACUAUGAUCAAACUGAUGAUCAGUCUCCAGGUAAUGUCCCAUGGUACUUUUAAGGAAGGGGACAAUGUGACACUAAAAUGCAUGGCAGACGGAAACCCCCCUCCUAAAAGCUACAGACCACAUUUUUCUGGAGGAGAGACUCCUUUUUUAACAACAGUGACAGAAUAUGAGCACACCAAAAGAUCAAAAAGGGAUCUCUGACCCCAAACUUUAGAGAGGCUCAAAGGUCUACUGAUUUGAAUUAAGGAGUUUUAAUUAUUUUAGUAUUUUUUAUUAUUGUAUCUGUAUUUUUUUUUAUUAAUAUCUUUUUUUUUUAUAUUUAUUAUAUCUAUAUUUUUUGUUAAUUGUAUUAUAUCUGUAAUUUCAUACCUAUUUUUUUUAUGUUAAUUGUAUUAUUAUAUCUAUAAUU